UAAGGAAUAUUGGUCAAUGGACGCAAGUCUGAACCAGCCAUGCCGCGUGAAGGAUGAAGGUCCUCUGGAUUGUAAACUUCUUUUAUCUGGGACGAAAACGGGAUUUUUAUCUCAAUUGACGGUACCAGAGGAAUAAGCACCGGCUAACUCCGUGCCAGCAGCCGCGGUAAUACGGAGGGUGCGAGCGUUAUCCGGAUUUCCUGGGUUUAAAGGGUGCGUAGGUGGGCUUAUAAGUCAGUGGUGAAAUCUCCGAGCUUAACUUGGAAACUGCCGUUGAUACUAUAGGUCUUGAAUUAUCUGGAGGUAAGCGGAAUAUGUCAUGUAGCGGUGAAAUGCUUAGAUAUGACAUAGAACACCCAUUGCGAAGGCAGCUUACUACAUAUAAAUUGACGCUGAGGCACGAAAGCGUGGGGAUCAAACA
rnacentral:rRNA from 1 species